GUGGUUGUAGCUCAGUCGGUUAGAGCACCAGAUUGUGGUUCUGGGGGUCGUGGGUUCGAACCCCAUCAUCCACC
rnacentral:tRNA from 1 species